rnacentral:misc_RNA from 1 species
GGGAUUAGGGCGCAUCUUGAAAAGUGUGAAACGGUUUUCGGAAAAGAUGCGAGUCAAAACAA